rnacentral:rRNA from 1 species
GACGAACGCUGGCGGCGUGCUUAACACAUGCAAGUCGAACGGAAAGGCCCUGCUUUUGUGGGGUGCUCGAGUGGCGAACGGGUGGGUAACACGUGAGUAACCUGCCCUUGACUUUGGGAUAACUUCAGGAAACUGGGGCUAAUACCGGAUAGGAGCUCCUGCUGCAUGGUGGGGGUUGGAAAGUUUCGGCGGUUGGGGAUGGACUCGCGGCUUAUCAGCUUGUUGGUGGGGUAGUGGCUUACCAAGGCUUUGACGGGUAGCCGGCCUGAGAGGGUGACCGGCCACAUUGGGACUGAGAUACGGCCCAGACGCCUACGGGAGGCAGCAGUGGGGAAUAUUGCACAAUGGGCGGAAGCCUGAUGCAGCAACGCCGCGUGCGGGAUGACGGCCUUCGGGUUGUAAACCGCUUUCGCCUGUGACGAAGCGUGAGUGACGGUAAUGGGUAAAGAAGCACCGGCUAACUACGUG